GGCCACUCUCCCGGGCGUUCCGAAUGACCUCAGGAGGGCUGCAUCGCUCAGCAUAACUAAGGCCAGCAUUACCCCAAAGCCAGCUGGGACGGCUUUGCUAAGGCUCUGUCCUCUUGAGGGGAAAAUAUGAGUCUGAGUCAGGGCCUUGUGGCCAGCGCCUCUGCCCUCAAGCAGACACGACCCUGACCAAGAAACUGCCCAAGAAGACAAUGCCCCCAGCCCACCCUGGUGGCUGCUCCACACGUCCGAAGCGUGCACGAGAAGGUCAAGGCAGGAACUUCAGCCGGGUCUCGCCAUGAUGGAACAUGGAAAGCAACCUAGAUCCUUCUCGGCCUCUGUAUCAGCUCCCAAGAUCCUGCAUGUUAGAACCGUGGUUGUCAACCUUGAAUUUGUAUCAGAUGAAAUUCCAAGAGCUUCAGAUUCAGCAGUUAGGUUGGGGCCCAAGAAUUUGCGUUUCUACCCAGUUCCUACUUCUAGGAUGUUCUGAUGUUGGGCCGGGCGCGGUGGCUCACUCCUGUAAUCCCAACACUUUGGGAGGCCGAGGCGGGCGGAUCACAAGGUCAGAAGAUCGAGACCAUCCUGACUAACACGGUGAAACCCCGUCCCUACUAAAAAUACAAAAAAUUAGCGGGACGUGGUGGCGGACGCCUGUAGUCCCAGUUACUCGGGAGGCUGAGGCAGGAGAAUCGCUUGAACCCGGGAGGCAGUUACAGUGAGCAGAGACGGUGCCACUGCACUCCAGCCUGGGCUACAGAGUGAGACUCCAUCUCAAAAAAAAAAAAAAAAAGAAAGAAAACAAAAUUGUGAUGUUUCUGAUUGGUGGUCCAAACUUUCCUGAGAACCACUGCAUUGAACAAGGAGAUGAUCUGAGACAGGUGAAACCAGUGGAAUGAAUGUUUAAGAAACCUGCAAGCUUGGGAAAAAAGGCCAGCAACUUGGAAAGAUUAAUCAAAAGGAUAUUUGGGAAGCUUAUCACCUCCACCUCUUGUUUGUAGAGACAGGGUUUCACCAUGUUGGACAAGCUGGUCUCAAACUCUUGACCUCAGGUGAUCUGCCCGCCUUGGCCUCCCAAAGUGCUAGAAUUACAGGCAUGAGCCACCAAGCCCAGCCUCUCCUCCACCUCGUAAGUGUUUUCAAAGUAAAGCCAGAAUCCUCAACUGCUUCUGCCCCCAUGAAAUCAUUACCCUUCAAUGAGCCAAUUCAAAUGCUGCUUCUUUUGUGAAGCUUUCUGCCACCACCCUUCCCUCCCAGAAUGUUGUACUUUCCCUGAUCUGCUUCAUAACACCUCCUUCCAAGCACACAUAGGAUUUCACGCAUCCUCUAGUAGCUAGGUGGUACAGGUCUGAUUUCCCAUCAGACUGUGAGCUUUUUGAGGGCAUUCAUAAUGACCUUCUUUUCUGUAGUGCCUACAAUUACAGCAGAAAAGCAGCACUCAAAAUGUUUGUUGAAGCUCUCCAGUGAACUGGGGUUCUAAUUAUUGAGUGAAGAACUUGACACUAAGUGGCUGUUGCCUGCAUUAUCCCAACCCAUCUCUGCAGAGAGAUGGGAGCAGCAGAGGGCGCUGUCACUGCAGGUGUAGGGGCAUUUUUCCUCUCCAUGACAUGCCAGAUGGCCCCCCGGGGCCACAGCUCCACCGUAAGAGUCCCCAAUUUUGUUUUGUUUUUUUACAGUGAGGGUGUUCUAGAGGAAAGGGCUCAACGAAUCCAAUUGCAAUAGCUCCAGUUUGUGAUAAAGAUGACAAUUUUUUUUUAUUUGAGACAGAGUCUGGUUCUGUUGCCCAGGCUGGAGUGCAGUGGCACAGUGUUGACUCACUGCCACCUCCACCCCCGGGGAUUCAAGCAAUUAUCGUGUCUCAGCCUCCCGAGUAGCUGGGAUUACAGACCCCAACCUCCAGCUAACUUUUGUAUUUUCACCAUGUUGGCAAGGCUGGUUUUGAACCCCUGAUCUCAAGUCAUCCUCCUGCCUCAGCCUCUCAAAGUGCUGGGAUUACAGGCAUGAGCCACGGUGCCUGGGCUGACAAAUAUUUAUUAUUGAGUUUGUGGAACCCAGAAUGAUCUAGGGCCUCAGUGGCCACUGAACCCUGGGGCACACUUGAACAAAAAUAUGGGCUUCUCAGCCACUAUGCCUUGACAUCCUCUCUAAUCAGAAGUUUGUGUAAUAAGUGCAAAAGACAAUAUUCACAGUGACAAUGAUACUGUGAACUGCCAUAGGGAGAGUAGACAUGACUGUGGUGACAAUGCAGCGGCAGCAGGACCCUGUCCUCUCAUAAGUGGGCAUCCUUUCCCCAUGUGAACACCACAUAGCAGAAACGCCCAUCUUCCAAAGCCCUUUUAUCAUGUUAUGAAUUAUUUACACUUCCAUAUAUUUCAGUUAAAGAGUGGUAAUCAGAUCUGUAUGGAUGCCACUUGGGUCAUUUGUCAUUUCACUUGAAGGCAAAGAAAUGUUUUUAACUGGUAAGUACAACCUUAUCAUAAAAGUCUAUUUUCUGUAAGAAAUACUGAAAAUAUAUUAAAGACCUCCCUUAGUGCCCUUCAGGACACAUAAGAAUCCUAAUAUACCAGGUUGGGAACCAUUGCUAUAGGAUUUGAAAGGAAUAGUAAAUAGUAUUAUCUGAAAGUGAAGAGGAAGAAGAGAUUCUACUUAAAAAUAUUUGUUAAAUGACUGAAAGAAAUAAAUCUAUGAAGUCGUUUAGAACAUGGUCCUUUAGGGAAAGACCUGCCUGCUGUAGAUUCCAUUCACAUUUUAUACGUUUGUAAUGCCUUACAAAGCUAGUCUUUGCACUUAAAGCUACUGCUAACUGAGCAAUAGAAUCACACCUCAUAAGGCUUAAACUGUGUAUUUAAAGGUUUUGAUAGGGGAUCCAGAAAUCUGAGUGAAACCCUGGGUUCUGCAGGUACACAUGGCUCAUGUAUAAGGCAUUUGAAGGGCUUGUGGCCUUGAUGGGGAACACUGUCAACUCUGAUCCUGUUUGUCUGAGGUUACUUGGGGUACAAGAUGAAGACAGAAGGGCGUGCCUCCCUUCUGGAACCAUCACGGCCAGCAGCCGCAUGUUGGGCAGCUGCUGAUACUCAGGGUGCCCAGGCGGGAGAUGGUGAGAGGCCAGCCCUAGCCAAAUUCCUUGCUGCUGCCAGAGGAAGCAGUCUUGCCAUGUGUGUCCACAGGGAUAAGAUUAGCUGCCGAGGUGGAGCUGAUAUCUGAGCGAGGCUCUCGAGGACACAUUCUGGAUAGAUCUCCAUAUGGGAGUUGGAUGACUGCCACCAGCCAGUCUUGGCAGUCCCCAGAAUUCUUCUGAAGUGGACAGUGGAAGAAGUGAAACAUUUGCCUGGCAGCUGGCAUCAAUGCAGUCUCUCUCUGGACAUGCAGAAGAAAAGGUUCAAAAGGAACUGAACCCAAACCAGUCUUUAUUUGAUUUUAGAUGGAAUUAAAACAUUUUUGUGGGUCUCGACAAGUAUUGCCAGCACUGCACCUGCCACCCUGAUAGGUAAGUCAGCUCUGGAGAACUUAGAGAUACAGAGUGACAACCACUAAAAAUAUACAAAGAGAUUUGAUUAAAUAUUUAUAUCAAUGUGAGCCAAGGUAGGUACGUUAAAAUAGCAAUGAUUUGGUGUAGUGAUCAUGGAAAUUUCAUGAUUCAAGACAAAGGUGGUUUCUUUAGGGUGCUGGCAUAUACUUACUGAGUUUAGUGCUUACUAUAAGCUAGGCUGUUCUGAAUAAUAUAUUUAGGCUUUUAUUAAGUCCUCAUAAGGUACAUUCAAGUAUAUAAAGUACCUCCAAAUGUACUUUUAUUAUCCUCAAUCUACAGAUAAGGACAAGAGGCAGAGAGAGUUAAAUAACUUGCUAAAUAGUGUAGGGCCCAGGUUUUUAACCAUCCUGCUAAACUGAGGAAAGCUGCCUAGACUCGGUUUAUUAUGUGAAUGAAAACACUAUAUUCAUUCAUUCAUUGGUCAUUAUUUCUGUUCCUUAUUUCAGUUAUUAAUUACCAAUUUACUUUGUGUGUGUGAGAGACGGGUCUCGCUCUGUCACCCAGGCUGGAGUGCAGUGGUGCGAUUCCGGCUCACUGCAACCUCCACCUCCCGGGCUCAAGCGAUUCUGCCACCUCAGCCUCUGAAGUAGCUGGGACUGCAGAUGUGCGCCACCAUGCCCAGCUAAUUUUUGUACUUUUUGUAGAGACGAGGUUACGCCAUGUUGGCCAGGCUGGUCUCCAACUCCUGAACUCAACCUAUCCUCUCACUGCAGCCUCUCAAGGUGGUGGGAUUACAGGCAUGAGCCACUACACCCCACCUGUUAAUUGCGUCUUUAUCUCAGUAGGUUGAAGUAUAUUUAUACAGCCUCUGCUCUGUGUCAAGUACUGAGCUGAGCUCAGCAGUUGCAAUGGCAGGAACACAGACCCAGCCCUAUUCCUUAUAUGGCUGACUCUCUAGUGGGAAAUAUGGACAUUAAACAAACGACCACCUAAAUAUAACACUGCAAACUGGAGUUCAUGGCAUGAACCAUGGAAUGCUAUCAAAGCACUGGGAUCCCAAUCUAAUCUGGGCAUCAGAGAAAGCUUCCCUGAGGAAUUAAAAUUUGGAUGAGGUCUCAAUAAUUAGUUGAUGAAUUAGGCAAACAGUGGGAGCAAGGAUGUUCCAGGCAGAGGCCAACUACAUGGGUCAGGUGCACAGGACAUAAACCGAGCCAUCAAGAAGCUUCCAAUGUGAAAAGAGAAUAAACCCAUAGAGACAAGCAAUGAAGUGCUGCCAUGAGACAGAUGUGUGGAGCAUUUGAACAAUGGGAAAGUGCUGCUAGGAGAGAGGUGGUGUUCAAUUCAAUGAAAGCAAUGUAGGAUGAGAUCUGUAAGGAAGACUAGAUAAGCCAAGAGGCAUGCAGAGGAUCUUAUCCAUUUUAGAGCCCUGGGGGCUAUUUACUGGAGUAGCUGAAGAUAGCACCGUGGACACAGGCUGAAAAGGAAGGAAUUGCUAUGAGCUCCAUGUGAGGCAUCAUAGAUGAGACCUAUGGAGCUAUCCAAGAUCAUAUCCUGACACAGUGGUCAAAAUAAAGAAGCAAGUGUGAGCAGUGGUGAGGUGAUGGCUCAUUUAAAGAAAAGCCAUGCCCUGCAGACUGGUCCCAAGCUGGAGACCCCUUUCUCUAAUUGUCUGAAGAAUCCCUUUGGCAGGCUGUGUAAUACGCAUGACUCCAAUCUCUUGAAGUCUCUAGAUGGAGGCCACAUCCCAUUGCCUUUACAAAACAUCCUCUUUAUCCAUGGAUGUUGAUACUUGAGAACUUAACAGAAAGAACUUCAUUCCUUCUGUGAAGAUCAGUGAAGCUCAUAUUAUUAUCUGACUACAGAACUGCUCAAUGUUCAUCCCAAAAAAGUAAGACUCCCUUAAAUAUCUGCAUAAGAUUCAUUUUCUGUGUUUUAUUUUCCUAAUUUUCUUCAAAGAAGAUGUGUUACUUUUGUUAAUAAAAUAUUAAAAAUGUAAACCAUGGAAUCAGGGAAGGAAAAUGGCAGAUAGGAGGCAGGACUAAAUUACAGCUGACACUCAGAGGGACAGAGCAGCAUGUGGAGACUCACGUUGUGAAUUUUUGCUCCAGAACUACUACUGCAGGAUUAUACCAGGAAAGCCAAGAGAAUCCACAGACCCUCUGAAGGAAGUGGAUAGCUCCUGCAGGACCCAGGAGACAGCCCAAAUACUACACAGCAAGAAGGUGCAAUCUAUGAACCAGAAAGUGGGCCCUCACCAGACACUGAAUCAGCUGUUUGUGUCUAGUGUCUUGACCUUGGACUUCCCAGCCACCAGAACUGCCAGAAAUAAAUUUCUAUUUUUUAUUAGUUAAAAAAAAGUAAGCCAUGUAGAUUAUUCAUUAACAUAUGAAGCAAAAUGGAAUCAUAAAAAUGAAACAUUCAUUACAAUUUUUUGGAAACUGCUAUUUGUUUUGUUUUGUUUUUGAGACUAAGCCUCGCUGUGUUGCUCAGGCUGGAGUGCACUGGCUGUUCACAGAUGUGACCAUGGCACGCUGCAUCUCAAACUCCUGGCCUCAAGUGAUCCUCCUGCCUCAGUCUCCUGAAGAGUUGGGACUACAGGGGUGUACCACCACACCCAGCCUUGUUUGUUUUUGAAGAUAAGAUCCAUAUCUGAAUUUUUUAAAUCAGUGACUGAGCAACAUAAAACAUGAGGAUUUCCCAGAUUGCCCUUCUUUUGUUGAAAAUAUUAAAAAGUGAUCUUAAAUGUAUGGAUACAUAUAAAACACUAAGAUUUCUCCAUUUGGUUUAUGUACUUCAUAAUAGCUUGUGACAUGCUCAAAAUAACAUGAUUUUUUUCAAUUAUUUCUUUUGCUCUUUUAAAAAUCACAUUUUAUUGAAUUUAUUCAUUCAUUCAUUUUGAACACCUAACAUAUACUAACAAAUGUGCCAAGUCCAGAAGAUUCAAGGCUGAAUCAGAGGACAUCCUUGACUUUAAAAAGCUGACAGACUAGAAGAGCCAAGCCUACAUGAAAAUAAAUAAAUGCAAUACGGACCAAAAGCACAAUUAUCGAAAUAUGUGCAGGGUAGAGGUGCUGAGCAGUGGGAAGAUACAGAAUAACUAAUGCCUGUUAGCUGCUUCUGUAUGUAUGCCAGGUAGUGUUCUAAGUGCUUUACUUACAUAUAUUAGCUCAUCGCCAACCUGUGAUCGUUUCCAUUAUCAUAUUGUUACACUCAUUUUAUAGAUGAGGGACUGAGACAAAGAGUGGUUGCCUAGCUUGCCCAAAGUCACUCAGCUAUACUGAGUGGCAGAACCAGGAUUUAAAUAAUAUGAACUCUGUGCUCUCAACCUCUACACAUUUGCUGUCCAGACUGUCCAGCAGACUGUCUAGGAAGAAAUGCAAAGCACUUUAAGCAGAGAGGGCAGCUUGGGCAAGGGCACUAGUGCAGGAAAGACACAAGCACCUUGUGGAGUCAAGCAGAUAGGAUACCAGAAGGCUGAGGAAUAUGCCACAUCAUAGGGAGGCUUGGAUCAGUUUUGGUAGACAAUGAGAGGACAUUGAAGGAUUUUAGUCAGAGGAGUGAUGGGGCAGAUCUGUUUCUUAAAAAGAUUAUUUUGACUGUGUUAGGGAGGAUGUGCUGCAGAGGAUCUGGAUGCAGGUGGGGAAGGGAGGAUGUGUUGCAGGAGGAUGUGUUGCAGAGGGAGGAUGUGCUGCAGAGGGUCUGGAUGCAGGUGGGGGAACCCCCUUUAGAGACGACUUCUCCCAGGUAAGAAAAGGCUGUAGCAGUGGAGUUGGAGAGAGAAGAAUGGACCAGAGCUAUUUUAAGGAAGACUAGGCCAGUGCUGGUUUUGAUUAGUGGAUGUCAAACUUAGUGGUCGUUUGGUAUUUUUACACGAAACCUUCAACAGAAUCAACAGUGUGCUUCAUGAAGGCAGAGCCCAGAUUUGUUUUUCUCGCCGUUGUACUCCCAAGACUUGGUAAUGUGCUCAGGAAAUGCUUAUUGAUUGAAUGAGUUAAUGAAUAAGUGAAUAAACCAAGAAGUAAAUAAAAAAAAGAAUGAAUCAAAGAAAUGACUCAGUAUUGGAUUAGACCAAGUGCAUAAGAGAAGAAGUUAAUGGACUCUCAAAUGACUUGCCGAAAAGAUUAAGUCAAUUUCUCUUUUCUUAUGCAAUACAUUUUGUGUCCAGGCCUUUCUUAUGAGUAUUGUGUGUGGAACAUAAAGCAACCAACUUAGCUCCACGAUUUAGCUAUUGGGAGACCCAUGAAAGAGCCUACCCAGCCCUGCCUGCCUCUGGGGGUCUCGGUCAUGUCAUGUGACUACAUCGCUUGGCUCUGUUUCCAAGUUCCCCACCUCUAACCUCUCUGGAGCUCACAUUCAUCUUUCAAAAACAUCACUUCUGUUAUAUCACCCAUCACUCACUCCCUUCACUACACAUCUCUUUGCCCUGCUUUAGUUUUCAUCUGAGCACUUACUGUUUCCUGACAUUAUGUCAUUCAUUCAUUCAUUCAUUUAUUCAUUUUAUUUGGUUCUAUCUCUCUGUUAGUUUCCUAUUGCUGCAGUAGCAAAUUACCAUAAACUUAGUGGCUGAAAACAGAUUUAUCUUGCAGUUCUUGAGGACAGAAAUCUGAAAUGGGCCUCACUGAGAUAAAGUCACUGUGGCCAGGGCUGCAUUAUUUCUGGAAGCUCCAGGGGACAAUCUGUUUCCUUACCUCUUUCAGCUUCUAGAGGCUGCCCUCAUUUCUUAUUUUGUGGACCCCUUUGAUCUUUAAAGCCAGCAAAGGCAGCUUGAGUCUUUCUCAUGAUGCUGUCUCUCUGGUCUCACUCUUCUGCCUUCCGCUUCCCCAUUCAAGGACUCUUGUGAUUAUAUUGGGCUUGCCUAGAUAAAGCAGGAUAAUCUUAUUUUAAGGUCAGCUGAUUAGCAACUUUAAUUCUAGCUGCAAUUUUAAUUCCCCCUUGCCAUGUAACAACAUAUUUAUAGAUUACAAGGAUUAGGAUGUGGAUGUAUUUUUUUUUUUUUUUUUUGAGACGGUGUCUUGCUCUGUCACCCAGGCUGGAGUGCAGUGGCACAAUCUCGGCUCACUGAAACCUCCACCUCCCGAGUUCAAGCAAUUCUCCUGCCUCAGUCUCCCAAGUAGCUGGGAUUACAGGCAUGCGCCACCAAACCCAGCUAAUUUUUGUAUUUUUAGUAGAGACAGGGUUUCACCAUGUUGGCAGGCUGAUCUUGAACUCCUGACCUUGUGAUCCACCCGCCUCGGCCUCCCAAAGUGCUGGGAUUACAGGCAUGAGCCACCGCACCUGGCCCAGGAUAUGGAUGUCUUUGAGGGGCCAUUUCCUGCUUAGCACAAUCUGCCUCUUAUAGAAUUUAAGUCUCUUGAGAGCAAAACUUUAUCUACUUUGCUCUCUACAGUACAGCCAUUGAUUAGAAGAGGGCCAGUAUAUUGUAAGCAUGCAGUAAAUAUGUUUUGAAUAAAUCAGCAAAUCUUGUCCUUCUUUUUCACAAUCCAUCUCAUACCAAGGCAGAAUAAUUUUCCUUCAUAUCAGCAUGGAUCAUAAUAUACUCUUUGAUAUGGUUUGGCUGUAUUCCCACCCAAAUCUUAUCUUGAAUUGUAGUUCCCAUAAUCCCCAUAUGUCAUGGGAGAGAGCCGGUGGGAGGUAAUGAAUCAUGAGAGAGGUUACCCUCAUGCUGCUGUUCUCAUAAUAGUGAGUGAGUUCUUACAAGAUCUGACGAUUUUAUAAGGGGCUUCCCACCUUUUGCUCUGCACUUCUCUUUCCUGCUGCCAUGUGAAGAAGUACGUGUUUGCUUCCCCUUCUGCCAUGAUUGUAAGUUUCCUGAGGCCUCCCCAGCACUGUGGAACUGUGAGUCAAAUAAACCUCUUUCCUUUAUAAAUUACCCAGCUUGGGUAUGUCUUUAUUAGAAUCAUAAGAAUGGAGUAAUACACUCUUGCUCAGAGAACAUGAAUCGAGCACUUCUAGGUGAGAUGGCAGCUUGGCCCCAGCCACUUUGUUCUUUCCUAGCAAACUCCAGUGGAAGUAACAGCAGAUCUUGCAAAUAGAGAAACAUCUGCCUCAGUUCUGAAGCAAGCAAGUGACCAUCCUCAUGCCACAAAAUAGAAGAACUUCUGCUAGAUCCAGAACUGUCACCCCUGGGUCGCAUGGAGGCCUUGAGGGUUGGGAUUCAAUCCUCAUUCCUGAGAAGGUGAGAAGCAUAGCAAGGAGGUCAGGGGAUCUGAGGGGCUUCAGUGAUGCCCCUUACUUGAGCUCUCUCUGAUCUCUCUUAACCAGGAGCUCUAGAACCCCAUUGUGAAUGUGGACAUUGUUAUGGAUGCAAAUGUCCACCUGUGCAGAGAAUUAGGCAAGACAGAGAGAGGUGUUUUUCUGGGAAGACUGUCUGAGCGAGCAACCACAAAGUUUCUGGUCAUGGUUCCUGCCCUGCCUCCCUCUCUACUUUGGAGCUCCUGUAACUCCAAGUGGAUAAUAUACGGUUUUGUUUUUGUCAUUGUUAUUGUUGAUGUUGCUUGUCUUUACUUUGUAAAAUAUGAACCUUUCAUCAUAUGAGUGAUUUUGGCAAAAUGCACCUCAGACAUUCAAAUACUUCCUAUUUAUUAAGCGCCUCCCACUGUGCAAUCCAUAUGCUAGGCACUGCAGAUGAUGUCUUAGUCUUUAUAACAACCUUGCAGGUUGGAUAGCAUUGUUCCCUUUUCAGAAAUGUGGGAACAUGCCCAAGGUUCAGGGUAUUCUAAGUGGGAGAAUUCAGAUCCAGCUCACUCAGAGGUCUCUGCUGGCCCAGGUCUGUCCAUUGUCUUCUAGUGUAAAUGAAGGCAGCUGCUCUGAAGGCAGGAGGACCAGGCUUAAUCUGAAACCUGUGAUCAUUGAAACAAGCAUGGCCUGCUCUGCACAGGGUUCAAAUGAAUAGGUCUCUAUUUUCUCCUUUCUACAUAAUCACUCAAAUAAGAUAGGGACUAGAGUCAGGCAAGUGAGACUCUCAUCCCAGGAAGAAAAUAGAAGGGAGCACAAAAAAACUCAGUAAUCAAGAUAAAUAAUAACUUUAAUACAAUACAGUGUUUUAAAAAAUCAAGUCCUCAAACUAUAGCUGUCUGCCUAGCUAUUUUUAAACAUAAAGCUUUACCAAGGCUGGGAUGAGGCUUGAGCAAAUGAGGCCAGUUGUACAAGUUCAGUGUCAGAUCCUAUUUAAAGUUUUGAUAUUUUGUUCAUCAUGUUUAUUUUUUUCAUUAAUUCUAUCUGAAGCACCCACCCACCUUCUCAGCAGAUAUCUCCCUCUGGGGCUACCCUUUCCACAUGAGUUAUAGGGACCUGUGAUGUGCAAAAGGAAGUUACACAACUUCUCUUCAUGAUUUCUGUCUUUUGGGCACAAAAUUCUGACUUUUGAAGAAUACAGUUGCAUAAUCACCACCACAAUCAAGAUAUACAACAGUUCCAUUAUCCUAAAUAGUCAUCCCAUCCUCCACUCCCAAUAACUGGCAACUACCGGUCUGUUUUUCUGUCCCUAUAGUUUUGCCUUUUCCAGAAUGUCAUUUACAUGGAACAAUAUAGUAUGAAGCCUCUUGAGCCUGGCUCCUUUCAUUUAGUAUAAGUAUCUGAGAGUCUUCCAUGUUGUGUGUAGCAGUAGUUCCUAUCUUUGUAUUGCUGGCUAGUAUUCCAUUGUUGGAUGUACUUAUUUGGGUUGUUUUCAGCUUGGGGAGGCUAUGAAUAAACCACUGUAAACACUU